CUACGGGAGGCAGCAGUGAGGGAUAUUGCACAAUGGGGGAAACCCUGAUGCAGCGACGCCGCGUGGGUGAUGGAGGCCUUCGGGUCGUAAAACCCUUUUCCAGGUGACGAGGAAGGACGGUAGCCUGGGAAGAAGUCUCGGCUAACUACGUGCCAGCAGCCGCGGUAAAACGUAGGAGGCAAGCGUUAUCCGGAGUUACUGGGCGUAAAGCGCGCGCAGGUGGUUGGAUAAGUGGGGCGUGAAAUAUCCCGGCUAAACCGGGAGGGGACGAACCAGACUAUACGACUGGAGUGCAGUAGAGGAACGCGGAAUUCGGGGUGUAGCGGUGAAAUGUGCAGAGAUCCCGAGGAACACCAGAGGUGAAGACGGCGUUCUGGGCUGUAACUGACACUGAGGCGCGAAAGCGUGGGGAGCAAACGGGAUUAGAUACCCCUGUAGUCC
rnacentral:rRNA from 1 species